rnacentral:rRNA from 1 species
GGGUGAGUAACACGUAGGUGAUCUGCCCAUCAGCACGGGGACAACGAUUGGAAACGAUCGCUAAUACCGGAUAGGACGAAAGUUUAAAGGUGCUYYUGGCACCGCUGAUGGAUGAGCCUGCGGCGCAUUANCUAGUUGGUAGGGUAAAGGCCUACCAAGGCRACGAUGCGUAGCCGACCUGAGAGGGUGAACGGCCACACUGGGACUGAGACACGGCCCAAACUCCUACGGGAGGCAGCAGUAGGGAAUCUUCGGCAAUGGGCGAAAGCCUGACCGAGCAACGCCGCGUGAAUGAUGAAGGCCUUCGGGUUGUAAAAUUCUGUUAUAAGGGAAGAACGACUUUAAUAGGAAAUGGCUAAAGUGUGACGGUACCUUAUGAGAAAGCCACGGCUAACUACGUGCC